AGACCUUCGGAAAGUUGGAAAACGGCAACAGCUCAUCCUCCCCUCUUCUCUGUCUCCCUCCAAGGGGUCAGGACGGGAGACACCUUCAGAAGUGUGCCCAGCAUCGUUGGGUUCUAAUACCAAGGAAGUGAGGUCGCAUCCUCAAAGUUCCUCUACAGUUAGGGGGAGAGCUGACGCUAGAAGUAUGCUUGAAUGAAAACUGAAUUGCAAUGUGCCGGACUAUUCUGAAGAGUGUUUGACUUCUAACAUCAAAUUCUUCACAAGACAAAGUUGAGGACUUUCCAGGACCUUUCACCAGAACCUGAAUGGACUGUCUAGACCAAAGUGCUAUUUAUGGUACAUGAAUCCUAGAGCUGUGCUAAAGAAAUCUGCAAAGCAGAGAACCAGAUUGAGAUGUGAGUGGUAUUGGAUUUAACUCCAAGAGCCCCCCCAAACUGCCAGAGCUCUAGCUCCUUUUUUGUGAAGGAAAUUCACAUUAUAUUUUAACAUUCCGUUGACUUGCAAGGGAGAGCUGGUGCUAGAAAAAUGCUUGAAUCAAAACUGAAGUGCAAGCUGUGCAACAUUCUGAAGAGUGUGUUUGGAUUCUAACAAGAAGUUCAUCUUAGGACAUUGUUGACUUUCCAGGACCUGUUUUUCAGCUGAACCUCAGUGAACUUUCUGAUAAAGUGCUAGUCACAUUACAGGCCUCAAAGAUAUGUGCUGCAGAAAAAAACAAUGCAGAAAGCCAGAUUCGGAUGUGAAUGGCAUUGGAUGCACCUCCAAGAGUAGAGUAUAUUCACAUUGUGACAGUGCUCUAAUUGCUUUCUCUGAGAAGGAACUGCAAUUUAUAUCAUAUCCUUCCAUUGACCUACAUGGGAGAACUGUCACUGGAAGAAGGAUUGAAUGACAACUGAAGUGCAAACUUCUGCACCUUUCUGAACCAUGUGUUUGGCAUCGGACAUCAAGUUCUUCUUAUGACAAAUUUGAGGACAUUCCAGGACCUGUCUUGCAGCAGAACAUGAAUGCACUGUCUAAGCCAAAGUGCUAUUCAUGGUACAAGCCUCAUAGAGAUGUGCUACAGAAAUCAC
rnacentral:lncRNA from 1 species